CAACUGCCUCGUUCCCCGCUUUCGCGCUGCGUGCCGAAAAAUAGGCAUUUUAGCGCGUAUUCCCGCCGCCUGCGAAGUGCCUCAUCGCUUCCUUCUAAGCCGUUUGGCUCCACGGUGGAAUUAUCUCCUGGCCUGGUUUCUGCUGCUCUCGACUCCCGUGGCUAGCGCGUUUUCUUUAGUUUUUCCCAAGUUAAUCUUUCAGGUUUUGUUUCAGAUCGUUUUCUAGUUUGUGGAACUUGUUUGCAAAGUCCACGCAGGAGUAGGUCUGCUCCUCGAAGAGCUUUGGGAAAGGGAAAUUGCUGGGAGUCCGCUGCCCUUCCACAUUUUGGCAAUCUGUUUUGGGGGGAAGGAGAAACCUCUGUGCUGCUAGAAAGGAAAACCGGAAUUUACUGCAGAGUAUUUCUUUCGAUAGUAGCUUCGAAAAUGAAGGUCAGAGGGCUCAGCUGGUGAAGACGUACGGAACGCCUCAACGGGGCGACUCUGAUUUAAGCAGACGCUCGGGCCCGAUUCCUGGGGAAGGAGCAGCGACCUGGUUUGGCCGGAAGGAACGCGGAACGGGAGAGAAAAGCGGUCGAAGGCGAGAGCCGAGCUCGCCCCUUAACGGGCCUUUGAGCGGCGACACCUCUUCCCUCUCAGUAAUAAGGGAGCUGCCGGGAAUGGGAUUUCAUUCCCUACGUAUAUGCGGACGUCCGUCUGCACCGGUCGCUCGGGGCUUCUCUUUUCAGGUGAAUCGCCCCGGAAAAAGCCGCUGUCUCGUCUCGCUAGACGCUGCCUCCUUUAGGAGCAACUUGCAUGUUGUAUAAUUAGGGAGCCAAAGCCCAAACUGUUUAAAUUUCCUCCGACAGCAGCCUCCGUGUGGGGAAAACACGAUUUCUUUCCCGCUUUCGUAUCCCAGCGCGUGUUGUCAUAUCACCGGGGUUGUGUUAAAGUAUUUCUGUGCUAACGUUGGAGCCAGCAACGCCGCCGGCUCUGCUCGCGAAACCCAGCCUGAAGCUUAGUCCAGCUUGUUUCCAGGUUCUCCGGCAGAAACGGAGUCCGCUGCUUGAUUUCCGUGAAAACACUUGCCACCGCACCAAAGCCUCGACCGUCUUUUCGCUUCUGCGUCGCGCCGGCAUGAAUAAACAGUCUAAAGUAGCUGUGGUUAGACA
rnacentral:lncRNA from 1 species